UGGGGAAUUUUGGACAAUGGGCGCAAGCCUGAUCCAGCAAUGCCGCGUGAGUGAAGAAGGCCCUCGGGUUGUAAAGCUCUUUUGUCAGGGAAGAAAAGGUGAUCUCUAAUACAGGUCACUCAUGACGGUACCUGAAGAAUAAGCACCGGCUAACUACGUGCCAGCAGCCGCGGUAAUACGUAGGGUGCAAGCGUUAAUCGGAAUUACUGGGCGUAAAGCGUGCGCAGGCGGUUAUAUAAGUCAGAUGUGAAAUCCCCGGGCUCAACCUGGGAAAUGCAUUUGAGACUGUAUGGCUAGAGUGUGUCAGAGGGGGGUAGAAUUCCACGUGUAGCAGUGAAAUGCGUAGAUAUGUGGAGGAAUACCGAUGGCGAAGGCAGCGCCCUGGGAUAACACUGACGCUCAUGCACGAAAGCGUGGGGAGCAAACA
rnacentral:rRNA from 1 species